CACACUGAUUUGUUUUUGUUUUUUUGUGUAUGAGGUUUGUUCAUAAUAUCUACUGAAGAACAGAUUAGCAGAUUACCCCGUGGAUCAUUAUGAGGACGACUGCAUGUCAUUUCAGUUGGAUCGUUAGCCAUAUUUAUGGGCACCACAGUUGAGUACACAAACAAGGAGUUAAAUCAAAUGGCUGAGGAGACACAGGAGAUAGAGGGAGAGGCACACAGAUAAUAUAAUGUGAGAAACCGGUGGUGUUCCUGCACUGACUCUUCUGCUGGAGGAGAGAAACUUUUGCUGCCAAGCACUGAGCCUGUGGAUGCCUGAAUUUGUGGCUCUGAUAAACAUCACUAUACUGCAGAUGGUGUUUCUCGCGUCCAAAAUCAACUAGAAGAAAAGACCAAAACUGAUGGGACCAGACCACAUGAUUCUCCCGCGGACGUUUUUCCCCUCCGAGCUCCGCGGUCUGGCUCUGACAUUUUCCCACGGUCCCGAUUACAGCUUCUCUCAGCACCUCCAUAUUUGCUCCCAUUUUCUCUGGCCCAAGUUGAACUUUCACUUUCAUAGUUUGCAAUUGUUUUCUCGUAAAAGAAAUAAACUUUGUAUAUAGCGC